rnacentral:tRNA from 1 species
GGAGAAGUUGCUCAGUGGUUAGAGCACUGGCUGCUCUUGAAAAGGACCUGGGUUCAGUUCCCAGCAUCACCA